ensembl:lncRNA
CGGCGGCUCCCGCGGGCGCGGCUGAGGGGAGGGCGCGGCGGGGGGCGGGCUGACUGCGCCCCGGGCGGCCGCAGGUCUGGGCCGGCCCCGGAGUAGGGGGGCCGCGGCGGGCGGCUCGUGCGUGCCAAGCGCGACAUGGCGCGGAGGCCGAGCAGCCCCGGAGGCCCAGUGAGCACGGGGAGGGGCUAGAAGCCGGCCGGACAACCAUUAGCGAGCGGGGGCCGGGCGGCUCGGGAACUAUAUUUCCCAGGGGGCGUAGCGGCCGCGGCCGGAAGCGGCGCGCCUGAGGCCCAGUGCGCAGGCGCCUGCGUCGCCUUGGUCUAUAUAAGGAAGGUCCGCCAUCGCCGUCGUUCUUUCGUUCCUGAGACGCCCUGGUGUCCCUUUUGUGUGCGAUGUCUCGUCCACGCGGGAGUUAUUUGCGGAUGGUGAGCUGAGGCCCCGCGGUUGGCUUGAUGAAGCGACACGGAGCAGGGGUUGGAGGGAUAGAAGACGGCACCUUUGCGCCUCCAGGGAGAUGAGAGAAUACAUCUGCGGUCUUCGACCUCCUAAUCUCUUCAAGGUUUGCUGACAGCCAAGACGAGGUUUUGAAUGGAGAAAGAAUCCGGAAGUCAGACAGGAUUGGCCUGAGGGAGCCAUGGAUGCCAGUGUGUGGAUCUGCUCUUGCUUGAUUUCAGUGUCCUGAAACCGGCACUUCUCUGGAGCACAGACCUUGAUCAGCGCCGCUUCCUGCUGGCCCUGUUCCAUGAGGACCAAGGGCUAUGUAUAAUCCAAAAGGAGUUUUCUUUCUAGACUUGGGUAUGGUAUAGUGUGUGCUUUCACUGGAAAUACUAAAUAACAGACACCUUUGGCCUCCUGUCUGUAGAAAUAAAAAUCUGACCAGGUAACUUACCAGCCCUGUAUUUCAUGUGUCUACCGUGGAUAAUCGUAGGAUCUGGUCCCCAAUGUAGCUUCUUCACUUACAUAUUCCCAUUUGUUCUGCCUAGGAUCAGACUGUCAGUCUGAAUUACUCUAAGCCCGCCGUCCUUUUUAUUAGUCCAAACAUCAGGGUGGCCUGAGUCAGUGAUAUUCCUUUUCCUGCUUGGUGCCUCAGUUCCCUCCCUCCCGUCCAAACUUUGAAUAAGACACUUGGCUAGAGAAGGCAGGGUGGUGUUGGCACUUGAGUGCUGGUACCUACCACUUGGUUACCCAGCUUGUGAAAGACUCCCAGCUGGAGUGGCCAUCUUGGGUGAGUCAUGGCUAACUCAGCUGAGGUGAGACUUGACUGAGUGGCACAGUUUAUAGUCUGGGCCCCAUCAGGAUAAAGGCUUUAACUUGGGCUGCAGUGACCCUGUAAACUGAACUAGAAUAAACCCUUUUCUGUUGUUUUUCACAGGAGUACCUCCCCCACGGUUUCUAUGGUCAUUCCUUGAUUAGUGUUUAGUAAAGAGAACCAGGACUUAACAGCCAUCAAAUGGCUACCUGGAGGUUCACUUUGGCAUCUGCAGGACACUUCGAUUCAGGGUACCAAAUCUAGACUCUUAAAACACGCUAGGCAACCUGUCACAAGGAUGUGAAGGUCCUAAGACAACUUGGUACUGAGAUUUUGUUUCAGGGGUCAGGAUCACACUUGGGCUUGUGUGGUAGUGCUUUUACUGUAUGAGCCCAAAGCCUGAGUUUUAGGUUUAUUUUACCUGUGUAUGUGCACCACUUGGUAUUCCCUCAAACUGCAGAGCUAGAUCCACCUGCCUCUGAGUACUGGGAUUCAAGGUGCUUGCCACCAUAUCUGGACACAUGGGCUGAAUUUUGAAAAGAGAAAUAAGGGGCUGGAGAGAUGGCUCAGUGGUUAAGAGCACUGACUGCUCUCCUAGAGAACUUGUCUUCAAUUCCCAGCACCCACAUGGCAGCUCACUGCUGUCCAGUUCCGGGGGAUUUGACACUUCACACCAAUGCACAUAAAAUAAAAAGUUAAAUGUUUUCAAAACAGAAAUGGGUGAUAGGUAGGUAGAUCCUCUAAGUAUGCUUUUAAGAAGUGGUAUUUUUGUGAAUAACACCUGAAAUCCACUCUGGUGGGACAAAGGGGUUUUUUUGUGGGAGUGCUUAAAGGACAGCUGCUUUCUGGAUGUGGUUAUUCCAGGGUUUGCCUGGCUGUCUCAACCCAGUUUCUUCCCAUUUACAUUCUAAGAAUAACCAUGCUGUUUAAAAGUUACCUACCAGGUUCCAUGCCAAGGCCUAGCAUCUGUAGAACCCUGUCUCUGCUGUGGCAAGAGAUAACCUUAUUGCCCCAGUUUUGUGGGUGAGGGAAGUGGCAGUCAGCAAAUGGCUCUGCUGUGUCCCUUGCCUGGUCCUCUUUGCUGGAUGCUCCCAGGAAGAUAAAAGGGACAGCUCUCCUCCCUGUGGCUUCUUGGGUUCCCAGCUAGGACUUCAGAGGGAGAGGAAUCAGGUACAAGGCAGAGAUCCAGCUGCCUCAGGCCACUCCUCCGUCCAGCUGUUCUACAGACACCCACGGAUCUCACCUUUUAGACAGGAUAUCUAUCCCUGUCUGGCCUUGAACCUGCAAUCCUGCCUUCUGGGAUUCCGGCUUUCUUUCCCCUUUUGGGGGAGGGGGGUGUUUCAAGACAGGGUUUCUCUGUGUAGAUCAGGCUUUCCUGGAACUCAGAUCUGCCAACCUCUACUUCCCAAGUGCUGGUAUUAAAGGCAUGCACCACCAGGCCUGGUGAUUUUUAAGUUAUGAGUAUGCCUGUGUGUCUAUAGAUAUUCUCAUGUGAG